AUUCCAGCUCCAAUAUCGUAUAUUAAUGUUGUUGCAGUUAAAAAGCUCGUAGUUGAAUUUCUGGUUAAAAUCUUAGCUGGCUUUUGUCGUUAAUGUUUUAAUCAUCCGUUAGAGAACUAUAACCGUCCUUAACUGGUCAUUAUAGAGAUCUAACAUUUUACUUUGAAAAAAUUAGAGUGUUCAAGGCAGGCAAUCGUCAUGAAUACUAUAGCAUGGAAUAAUGGAAUAGGACUUUGGUUCAUUUUAUUGGUUAUUGAACCUUAGUAAUGAUUAACAGGGACAGUUGGGGGCAUUAGUAUUUAAUUGUCAGAGGUGAAAUUCUUGGAUUUAUUAAAGACUAACUUAUGCGAAAGCAUUUGCCAAGGAUGUUUUCAUCA
rnacentral:rRNA from 1 species